CCCUUAGACGUUCUGGGCCGCACGCGCGCUACACUGACAAAGGCAACGAGCUACUCUUCACCGAAAGGUGUGGGUAAUCUUUUGAAACUUUGUCGUGCUGGGGAUAGAUCCUUGCAAUUUUUGAUCUUAAACGAGGAAUUCCUAGUAAGCGCAAGUCAUCAACUUGCGUUGAUUACGUCCCUGCCCUUUGUACACACCGCCCGCCGCUACUACCGAUUGAAUGGUUUAGUGAGGCCUUCGGAUCCGCGACUCGUUUGUGGAGAAGUUGGACAAACUCAGUCAUUUAGAGGAAGUAAAAGUCGUAACA
rnacentral:rRNA from 1 species